GUCCUGGCUGUAACGGUGCGCGUUGCUGUGAGCGGAAUCGACCCGCUCGUGGCGAAGCUAACGCGUUAACGCGCCGCCUGGGAAGUACGGCCGCAAGGCUAAACUCAAGAAUUGACGGGCCGUGCACAAGCGGUGGAGUAUGUGGCUUAAUUCGAUGCAACGCGAAGAACCUUACCUGGCCUUGACAUGCAUGUAGUAGAACCCUGAAGGGGACGAGGUAGCAAUACCAGCAUGCACAGGUGCUGCAUGGCUGUCGU
rnacentral:rRNA from 1 species